UACGUAGGGGGCUAGCGUUGUCCGGAAUCAUUGGGCGUAAAGCGCGUGUAGGCGGUCCGGUAAGUCCGCUGUGAAAGUCGGGGGCUCAACCCUCGAAUGCCGGUGGAAACUGUCGGGCUAGAGUACGGAAGAGGCGAGUGGAAUUCCUGGUGUAGCGGUGAAAUGCGCAGAUAUCAGGAGGAACACCAGCGGCGAAGGCGGCGCUCUGGGCCGGUACUGACACUGAGGAGCGAAAGCGUGGGGAUCAAACAGG
rnacentral:rRNA from 1 species